AACCAUGCCUAGUACGGCGAGUGAGCGGCAACAGCUCAAAUUUGAAAUCUGGCUCUUUUAGAGUCCGAGUUGUAAUUUGCAGAGGGCGCUUUGGCUUUGGCAGCGGUCCAAGUUCCUUGGAACAGGACGUCACAGAGGGUGAGAAUCCCGUACGUGGUCGCUGGCUAUUGCCGUGUAAAGCCCCUUCGACGAGUCGAGUUGUUUGGGAAUGCAGCUCUAAAUGGGAGGUACAUUUCUUCUAAAGCUAAAUAUUGGCCAGAGACCGAUAGCGCACAAGUAGAGUGAUCGAAAGAUGAAAAGCACUUUGGAAAGAGAGUCAAACAGCACGUGAAAUUGUUGAAAGGGAAGCGCUUGCAGCCAGACUUGCUUACAGUUGCUCAUCCGGGUUUCUACCCGGUGCACUCUUCUGUAGGCAGGCCAGCAUCAGUUUGGGCGGUAGGAUAAAGGUCUCUGUCACGUACCUCCUUUCGGGGAGGCCUUAUAGGGGAGACGACAUACUACCAGCCUGGACUGAGGUCCGCGCAUCUGCUAGGAUGCUGGCGUAAUGGCUGUAAGCGGCCCGUCUUGAAACAACGGACCA
rnacentral:rRNA from 1 species